UACGUGGGGAGCAAGCGUUGUUCGGAUUUACUGGGCGUAAAGGGUGCGCAGGCGGCCGAAUGUGUCGGGUGUGAAAUUUCGAGGCUCAACCUCGAGACUGCGCCCGAAACUAUUUGGCUAGAGUACUGGAGAGGGAAGCGGAAUUCACGGUGUAGCAGUGAAAUGCGUAGAUAUCGUGAGGAACACCAAUGGCGAAGGCAGCUUCCUGGACAGUUACUGACGCUCAGGCACGAAAGCGUGGGGAGCAAAAGGG
rnacentral:misc_RNA from 1 species